rfam:Streptomyces sp. SirexAA-E, complete genome.
CUGGUCGACCAGGGUCGGCGAGAUGAAGUGGACGUGGGCGUCGAUGGCGCCGGCGGUGACGAACUUGCCGUUGCCCGCGAUGAUCUCGGUCUCCGGGCCGAUGACCAGGUCGGGGUGGACCCCGUCCAUCGUGUCCGGGUUGCCCGCCUUGCCGAUGCCGGUGAUCCGGCCGUCGCGUAUCCCGAUGUCCGCCUUGACGACGCCCCAGUGGUCGAGGACGACGGCACCGGUGAUCACGGUGUCGGGCGCGCCUUCCGCACGGGUGGUCCGCGCCUGGCCCAUGGAUUCGCGG